rnacentral:rRNA from 1 species
CCUACGGGCGGCAGCAGUGGGGAAUAUUGGUCAAUGGCCGGAAGGCUGAACCAGCCAUGCCGCGUGAAGGUCAGUGCCCUAUGGGCGUUAAACUUCUUUUGUGCGGGAGCAAUAAUGGUCACGUGUGGCCAGACGAGAGUACCGUACGAAUAAGCAUCGGCUAACUCCGUGCCAGCAGCCGCGGUAAUACGGGGGAUGCAAGCGUUAUCCGGAUUUAUUGGGUUUAAAGGGUGCGUAGGCUGUGAGGUAAGUCAGCGGUGAAAUGCCCCCGCUCAACGGGGUGAAGUGCCAUUGAUACUGCCUUGCUUGAAUGCGGAUGCCGUGGGUGGAAUGUGUGGUGUAGCGGUGAAAUGCAUAGAUAUCACACUGAACACCGAUUGCGAAGGCAUCUCACGAAUCCGCGAUUGACGCUGAUGCACGAAAGCGUGGGUAUCAAACAGGAUUAGAUACCCCUGUAGUC